rnacentral:rRNA from 1 species
AUUGAACGCUGGCGGCAGGCCUAACACAUGCAAGUCGAGCGGAUGAGUGGAGCUUGCUCCAUGAUUCAGCGGCGGACGGGUGAGUAAUGCCUAGGAAUCUGCCUGGUAGUGGGGGAUAACGUUUCGAAAGGAACGCUAAUACCGCAUACGUCCUAAGGGAGAAAGUGGGGGAUCUUCGGACCUCACGCUAUCAGAUGAGCCUAGGUCGGAUUAGCUAGUUGGUGGGGUAAUGGCCCACCAAGGCGACGAUCCGUAACUGGUCUGAGAGGAUGAUCAGUCACACUGGAACUGAGACACGGUCCAGACUCCUACGGGAGGCAGCAGUGGGGAAUAUUGGACAAUGGGCGAAAGCCUGAUCCAGCCAUGCCGCGUGUGUGAAGAAGGUCUUCGGAUUGUAAAGCACUUUAAGUUGGGAGGAAGGGCAGUAAGUUAAUACCUUGCUGUUUUGACGUUACCAACAGAAUAAGCACCGGCUAACUUCGUGCCAGCAGCCGCCGUAAUAC